GAUGAACGCUGGCGGCGUGCUUAACACAUGCAAGUCGAACGGUGAAGGCGGAGCUUGCUCUGCUGGAUCAGUGGCGAACGGGUGAGUAACACGUGAGCAAUCUGCCCCUGACUCUGGGAUAAGCGCUGGAAACGGCGUCUAAUACUGGAUACGAGCUGCGAAGGCAUCUUCAGCAGCUGGAAAGAAUUUCGGUCAGGGAUGAGCUCGCGGCCUAUCAGCUUGUUGGUGAGGUAAUGGCUCACCAAGGCGUCGACGGGUAGCCGGCCUGAGAGGGUGACCGGCCACACUGGGACUGAGACACGGCCCAGACUCCUACGGGAGGCAGCAGUGGGGAAUAUUGCACAAUGGGCGUAAGCCUGAUGCAGCAACGCCGCGUGAGGGACGACGGCCUUCGGGUUGUAAACCUCUUUUAGCAGGGAAGAAGCGAAAGUGACGGUACCUGCAGAAAAAGCGCCGGCUAACUACGUG
rnacentral:rRNA from 1 species